rnacentral:piRNA from 2 species
UUCCACAGUAACACUUCCUCACUCUCAAUCA